UCCCUCAUGGCUCAGCUGGUAAAGAAUCUGUCUGCAAUGCAGGAGACCCGGGUUCGAUCCCUGGGUUGGGAA
rnacentral:tRNA from 1 species